UACGUAGGGUCCGAGCGUUGUCCGGAAUUACUGGGCGUAAAGGGCGCGUAGGCGGACAGUUUAGUCAGAGGUGAAAGCCCAGGGCUCAACCUUGGAAUUGCCUUUGAUACUGACUGUCUUGAGUUCGGGAGAGGUGAGUGGAAUGCCGAGUGUAGAGGUGAAAUUCGUAGAUAUUCGGCGGAACACCAGUGGCGAAGGCGACUCACUGGCCCGAUACUGACGCUGAGGCGCGAAAGCGUGGGGAGCAAACAGG
rnacentral:rRNA from 1 species